rnacentral:rRNA from 1 species
AACGAACGCUGGCGGCAUGCCUAACACAUGCAAGUCGAACGAGACCUUCGGGUCUAGUGGCGCACGGGUGCGUAACGCGUGGGAACCUGCCCUUAGGUUCGGAAUACCUCCCCGAAAGGGGUGCUCAUACCGGAUAAUGUCUUCGGACCAAAGAUUUAUCGCCUUUGGAUGGGCCCGCGUUGGAUUAGCUAGUUGGUAGGGUAAAAGCCUACCAAGGCGACGAUCCAUAGCUGGUCUGAGAGGAUGAUCAGCCACACUGGGACUGAGACACGGCCCAGACUCCUACGGGAGGCAGCAGUGGGGAAUAUUGGACAAUGGGCGAAAGCCUGAUCCAGCAAUGCCGCGUGAGUGAUGAAGGCCUUAGGGUUGUAAAGCUCUUUUAGCCGGGAUGAUAAUGACAGUACCGGGAGAAUAAGCACCGGCUAACUCCGUG